rnacentral:rRNA from 1 species
UACGAAGGGGGCUAGCGUUGCUCGGAAUCACUGGGCGUAAAGCGCACGUAGGCGGACUCUUAAGUCGGUGGUGAAAUCCUGGAGCUCAACUCCAGAACUGCCUUCGAUACUGAGAGUCUCGAGUCCGGGAGAGGUGAGUGGAACUGCGAGUGUAGAGGUGAAAUUCGUAGAUAUCGGGAGGAACACCAAUGGCGAAGGCAGCUCGCUGGGACGUUACUGACGCUGAGACGCGAAAGCGUGGGGAGCAAACAGG